rnacentral:rRNA from 1 species
UGGGGAAUCUUGGACAAUGGGGGCAACCCUGAUCCAGCCAUGCCGCGUGAGUGAUGAAGGCCUUAGGGUCGUAAAGCUCUUUCGCCUGUGAAGAUAAUGACGGUAGCAGGUAAAGAAACCCCGGCUAACUCCGUGCCAGCAGCCGCGGUAAUACGGAGGGGGUUAGCGUUGUUCGGAAUUACUGGCGUAAAGCGCACGUAGGCGGACCAGAAAGUUGGGGGUGAAAUCCCGGGGGCUCAACCCCGGAACUGCCUCCAAAACUAUUGGUCUAGAGUUCGAGAGAGGUGAGUGGAAUUCCAAGUGUAGAGGUGAAAUUCGUAGAUAUUUGGAGGAACACCAGUGGCGAAGGCGGCUCACUGGCUCGAUACUGACGCUGAGGUGCGAAAGUGUGGGGAGCAAACAGGAUUAGAUACCCUGGUAGUCCACACCGUAAAACGAUGAAUGCCAGUCGUCGGGUAGCAUGCUAUUCGGUGACACACCUA